rnacentral:rRNA from 1 species
AGUGAACGCUGGCGGUAGGCCUAGCACAUGCAAGUCGAACGGCAGCACAGUAAGAACUUGCUCUUACGGGUGGCGAGUGGCGGACGGGUGAGGAAUACAUCGGAAUCUACUUUUUCGUGGGGGAUAACGUAGGGAAACUUACGCUAAUACCGCAUACGACCUACGGGUGAAAGCAGGGGAUCUUCGGACCUUGCGCGAUUGAAUGAGCCGAUGUCGGAUUAGCUAGUUGGCGGGGUAAAGGCCCACCAAGGCGACGAUCCGUAGCUGGUCUGAGAGGAUGAUCAGCCACACUGGAACUGAGACACGGUCCAGACUCCUGCGGGAGGCAGCAGUGGGGAAUAUUGGACAAUGGGCGCAAGCCUGAUCCAGCCAUACCGCGUGGGUGAAGAAGGCCUUCGGGUUGUAAAGCCCUUUUGUUGGGAAAGAAAAGCAGCAGGUUAAUACCCCGCUGUUCUGACGGUACCCAAAGAAUAAGCACCGGCUAACUUCGUG